rnacentral:rRNA from 1 species
AUGAAGAUAGCGACUUGCAUUCGUAAGGUGGCCUCGGAGGAGUUUGGAGUGUCCAGGGGAAGGAGAAGCGAAGAUAAGGAUACCUGGUGGUGGAAUGAUGAUAUCCAGAAGGCGCUUAAAGAGAAGAAAGAUUGCUUCAGACGCCUAUACCUGGAUAGGAGUGCAGACAACAUAGAGAAGUACAAGAUGGCGAAGAAGGCCGCAAAGCGAGCUGUUGGUGAAGCAAGGGGUCGGGCAUAUGAGGACCUCUACCAACGGUUAGGCACGAAGGAAGGUGAAAGGGACAUCUAUAAGAUGGCUAAGAUCCAGGAGAGGAAGACGAGGGAUAUUGGCCAAGUCAAAUGCAUCAAGGACGGAGCAGGCCAACUCUUGGUGAAGGACGAAGAGAUUAAGCAUAGAUGGCGGGAGUACUUCGACAAGCUAUUCAAUGGGGAGAAUGAGAGUUCUACCAUUGAAUUGAAUGACUCCUUUGAUGAGACCAGCAUGCGUUUUGUGCGGCGCAUCCAGGAGUCUGAGGUGAAGGAGGCUUUAAAAAGGAUGAAAGGAGGCAAGGCGAUGGGCCCUGAUUGUAUCCCCAUUGAGGUGUGGAAAGGUCUCGGGGACAUAGCGAUAGUAUGGCUAACCAAGCUUUUCAACCUCAUUUUUCGGGCAAACAAGAUGCCAGAAGAAUGGAGACGGAGUAUAUUAGUACCAAUCUUCAAGAACAAGGGGGAUGUUCAGAGUUGUACUAAUUACCGUGGAAUUAAGCUGAUGAGCCAUACAAUGAAGCUAUGGGAGAGAGUCAUUGAGCACCGCUUAAGAAGAAUGACAAGCGUGACCAAAAAUCAGUUUGGUUUCAUGCCUGGGAGGUCGACCAUGGAAGCCAUUUUCUUGGUACGACAACUUAUGGAGAGAUAUAGGGAGCAUAAAAAGGACUUGCAUAUGGUGUUCAUUGACUUGGAGAAGGCCUAUGAUAAGAUACCGCGGAAUGUCAUGUGGUGGGCCUUGGAGAAACACAAAGUCCCAGCAAAGUACAUUACCCUCAUCAAGGACAUGUACAAUAAUGUUGUGACAAGUGUUCGAACAAGUGAUGUCGACACCGAUGACUUCCCGAUUAAGAUAGGACUGCAUCAGGGGUCAGCUUUGAGCCCUUAUCUUUUUGCAUUGGUGAUGGAUGAGGUCACAAGGGGUAUACAAGGAGAUAUCCCAUGGUGUAUGCUCUUUGCGUAUGAUGUGGUGCUAGUUGACGAUAGUCGGACGGGGGUAAAUAGGAAGUUAGAGUUAUGGAGACAAACCUUGGAAUCGAAAGGGUUUAGGCUUAGUAGAACUAAAACCGAGUACAUGAUGUGCGGUUUCAGUACUACUAGCUGUGAGGAGGAGGAGGUUAGCCUUGAUGGCCAGGUGGUACCUCGAAAGGACACCUUUCGGUAUUUGGGGUCAAUGUUGCAGGAGGAUGGGGGUAUUGAUGAAGAUGUGAACCAUCGAAUCAAAGCCGGAUGGAUGAAGUGGCGCCAAGCUUCUGGCAUUCUCUGUGACAAGAGAGUGCCACAAAAGCUAAAAGGCAAGUUCUACAGGACGGCGGUUCGACCCGCAAUGUUGUAUGGCGCGGAGUGUUGGCCGACUAAAAGGCGACAUGUUCAACAGUUAGGUGUGGCGGAGAUGCGUAUGUUGAGAUGGAUGUGUGGCCACACGAGGAAGGAUCGAGUCCGGAAUGAUGAUAUACGAGAUAGAGUUGGGGUAGCACCAAUUGAGGAGAAGCUUGCCCAACAUCGUUUGAGAUGGUUUGGGCAUAUUCAGCGCAGGCCUCCAGAAGCUCCAGUGCAUAGCGGACGGCGAAAGCAUGCGGAGAAUGUCAAGAGAGGGCGGGGUCGACCGAUUUUGACAUGGGAGGAGUCCGUUAAGAGAGACCUGAAGGAUUGGAGUAUCGACAAAGAGCUAGCUAUGGACAGGGGUGCGUGGAAGCUUGCUAUCCAUGUGCCAGAGCCA